GACGAACGCUGGCGGCGUGCUUAACACAUGCAAGUCGAACGGAAAGGCCCCUUUGGGGGUACUCGAGUGGCGAACGGGUGAGUAACACGUGAGUAACCUGCCCUUGACUUCGGGAUAACUUCAGGAAACUGGGGCCAAUACCGGAUAGGAAUCCUUGCUGCAUGGUGGGGGUUGGAAAGCUUCGGCGGUUUUGGAUGGACUCGCGGCUUAUCAGCUUGUUGGUGGGGUAGUGGCUUACCAAGGCUUUGACGGGUAGCCGGCCUGAGAGGGCGACCGGCCACAUUGGGACUGAGAUGCGGCCCAGACUCCUACGGGAGGCAGCAGUGGGGAAGAUUGCACAAUGGGCGGAAGCCGGAUGCAGCAACGCCGCGUGCGGGAUGACGGCCUUCGGGUUGUAAACCGCUUUCAGCAGGGGCGAAGCUUGUGGUGACGGUACCUGCAGAAGAAGCACCGGCUAACUACGUG
rnacentral:rRNA from 1 species